CCUACGGGAGGCAGCAGUGAGGAAUAUUGGUCAAUGGACGAGAGUCUGAACCAGCCAAGUAGCGUGAAGGAUGACUGCCCUAUGGGUUGUAAACUUCUUUUAUAUGGGAAUAAAACGAGACACGUGUGGGAUGUUGUAUGUACCAUAUGAAUAAGGAUCGGCUAACUCCGUGCCAGCAGCCGCGGUAAUACGGAGGAUCCGAGCGUUAUCCGGAGUUAUUGGGUUUAACGGGAGCGUAGGUGGCUUGUUAAGUCAGUUGUGAAAGUUUGCGGCUCAACCGUAAAAUUGCAGUUGAUACUGUCAGUCUUGAGUACAGUAGCGGUGGGCGGACUUCGUGGUGUAGCGGUGAAAUGCUUAGAUCUCACGCAGAACUCCGAUUGCGAAGGCAGUUCACUGGACUGCACCUGACACUGAGGCUCGAAAGUGUGGGUAUCAAACAGGAUUAGCUACCCCGGUAGUC
rnacentral:rRNA from 1 species